GGCUCGGUGGUGGGUGGACCACAUCUGCAUUCGAUUAUUGGGGCCCUGUGGUUGAAGCAGAGGAGCCUGUUCGAUUCGGGCCUGAGCCG